GUGCCUGUGGGAUGAACAGGUCCCAAUAUUUACUACCAUUUUGCUCACUUUGUCAGCUAUUAUUCACAUUAUUAGCUGAUCAUUUAAGGAUGGGAAAUUC
rfam:Zea mays cultivar B73 chromosome 2, whole genome shotgun sequence.